rnacentral:rRNA from 2 species
UUCAACUGAAGAGUUUGAUCAUGGCUCAGAUUGAACGCUGGCGGCAGGCCUAACACAUGCAAGUCGAGCGGAAACGAUCCUAGCUUGCUAGGAGGCGUCGAGCGGCGGACGGGUGAGUAAUGCAUAGGAAUCUGCCCGGUAGUGGGGGAUAACCUGAGGAAACUCAGGCUAAUACCGCAUACGUCCUACGGGAGAAAGCAGGGGCUCUUCGGACCUUGCGCUAUCGGAUGAGCUUAUGUCGGAUUAGCUGGUUGGUGAGGUAACGGCUCACCAAGGCGACGAUCCGUAGCUGGUCUGAGAGGAUGAUCAGCCACAUCGGGACUGAGACACGGCCCGAACUCCUACGGGAGGCAGCAGUGGGGAAUAUUGGACAAUGGGGGCAACCCUGAUCCAGCCAUGCCGCGUGUGUGAAGAAGGCCCUCGGGUUGUAAAGCACUUUCAGUGAGGAAGAAGGCUUGUCGGUUAAUACCCGGCAAGAAAGACAUCACUCACAGAAGAAGCACCGGCUAACUCCGUGCCAGCAGCCGCGGUAAUACGGAGGGUGCGAGCGUUAAUCGGAAUUACUGGGCGUAAAGCGUGCGUAGGCGGCUUGAUAAGCCGGUUGUGAAAGCCCCGGGCUCAACCUGGGAACGGCAUCCGGAACUGUCAGGCUAGAGUGCAGGAGAGGAAGGUAGAAUUCCCGGUGUAGCGGUGAAAUGCGUAGAGAUCGGGAGGAAUACCAGUGGCGAAGGCGGCCUUCUGGACUGACACUGACGCUGAGGUACGAAAGCGUGGGUAGCAAACAGGAUUAGAUACCCUGGUAGUCCACGCCGUAAACGAUGUCGACUAGCCGUUGGGGUCCUCGAGACCUUUGUGGCGCAGUUAACGCACUAAGUCGACCGCCUGGGGAGUACGGCCGCAAGGUUAAAACUCAAAUGAAUUGACGGGGGCCCGCACAAGCGGUGGAGCAUGUGGUUUAAUUCGAUGCAACGCGAAGAACCUUACCUACCCUUGACAUCGUGCGAACUU